rnacentral:misc_RNA from 1 species
GUGCCUUUGCCUGAUGAGCACUCUCGCAUGGUGGAUUGACUUGGCCAUGCCAGUCUUGAAGACAAGUGUUUGCAGACGACGUUCAAGGAAGUUCUCAACAGUGAGUGCCAAGACGUAAUCAAGCUUGUUCUGGCUCUCGUCCAACAGCCCAUACCUGUUCAUCCUCCUCAAAAGAGCUUCACCUUCAAAAAUACGACGUGGGUCUUUCUCAUCAAGGGUCAGAAGCAUUCUUGCAGCAUUCCUGAUACGGCUCAAAGCAUACUGAACUCUCCACAACUCCCUCUUGCACCUCAGUCCAUACUCUCCAACAAGCUUCAAC